rnacentral:tRNA from 1 species
GCCUGAGUAGCUCAGUGGAUAGAGCAGUUGCACGCUAAGCUUCAGGUCACGGGUUCAAAUCCCGUCUCAGGUU